AUUUGCGCUGGCAAACCUGGAGAACCUGACAUCCCAUCCGGAGGGACCUCUCCCUGGACUUGAGAAAAUGAGUCACCUGGGCCACCUCGUUGUCAUCAAGAGGAGCGGGGUCGACGGCCCCCACUUCCCCUUGUGGCGCAAAACCUGCUUGUUUGGAAGGGGUAUUGAAUGUGACAUCCAUAUACAGCUUCCUAUAGUGUCAAACCAACACUGCUAAACUGAAGUCACUCAGCAGGAGGUAAGUUUUUGUAAAUCAUUUUUAAAAACUUUUUAUUUCACUUUUAAACUACUUAUAGGUAACAUUUUCCUCCCUCCUUUCUCCUUGUAGGCAGUAUUGUCUAAUUUGAGUAACACAAGCCCAACACAAUUAAAUGAGCCAGUAAAACUAAAACAUGGAGAUAUCAU
rnacentral:lncRNA from 1 species